CCUGAAUGUGGCUCUGGAGGAAGACAUAAAGUAAACAAUUGAAAUUGACUUUUGAAAUUGAUUGUUUUUCUCUAUGACAUCAACUGGUGCAAAUUUUUUGAAAGAUAAAUUAUUUAAAAAACACACUUUUUUUAAAAAAGCAAGAAAGCUUUGAGAAUAAACAAUUGGAAGAGUUGGACACUUCCAACUUUGAGAAUGAUUAUCAUUACUGUUAAUAAAACUGGAGAGACAGGAGGAGAAAAUUACCUGGUACAAAUGUUUCUAUGAUCAGCUUGAAUUUAAAUACAGAUAAACUGUCUUCCUACUAGACAGAAAUCUGAGCUGGAUGAAGGAUAAUCUACAGGUAUGACACUUCUAACCAAUGGAUCAAGAGUAGACACCAAACUUCAUCUAAGGCUGUAAACAUGCUGGAUGUGGAGGACUCUGAGGUCUUAGAAAAUGAUGAAGAAAUAUAUGAAAGGACCGUGGACCCCAGAAUGACCACGUGGAAUGUUUACUGGUGACCAGGAAUACACAUUUUGAACAUAGGCCUUGGAACUUGCAUUGAAAUACACCAGUGGCUUUCCUCAUUCUCCAGUGUGUCAGUAUAUUGGACUUCUCAGACUCCAUGAUUACAAAGGCAGAAGAAGCUCUCCAGAUGUCUUCCAGUAACGUUGAAGUUUUUAUCAGAAUGUUGCAAGGAAACACCAAUUGGGUCACCUGGGAUGACCUUCAAUGACCUGAAGACAUUUACUGAAGGAGCUGUGUUAAGUUUUUUAACAUCUUCUAUUGAGUAAAAGUGAAAAGCAGCUUUUUACUUGGUUGAAACCAAUUGAGAAAGAAAUUCUAUCAAAUAUCAAGUAUGUGCAUGAACUUUUAAAAAGACAAUUUUAUUGACCUAUAUUGAACUUCAUAAGUUUUGCCUAUUAACAAUAAAGCUACUGUGAGCAUUUUUGUACAAGUCUUUACAGAAAUAUACAGACAUGUGCUUUCAUUUCUUUUGGCUAAGCUAGGAGUGAAAUGGUUGUAUCACAUGUUAGGUGUAUGUUUAGCUCUCAAAAGAACUGCCAAACUUUUUAAAAGAAGUGGCUGUACCGUGUGCAUCAACUUUUUUUUUUUUUUUUAUACUUUAAGUUUUAGGGUACAUGUGCACAUUGUGCAGGUUAGUUACAUAUGUAUACGCUGGUGCGCUGCACCCACUAACUCGUCAUCUAGCAUUAGGUAUAUCUCCC
rnacentral:lncRNA from 10 species